GUGGAGCUGAGUGGAUGGACGAGCAGCCAUAGCACAGGGAUCCAAAGCUCUGACUGGGAGGCUGCAGGACCGCAUGUCAGUUUCCUCACAGCAGCCAAGCCUGCCUGUGCCAGGGAAGCCUGGGGAGCAGACCUUCACCUCCACCCCACGUCAGAGACCAGGUGGCCCCAUUUUGGCUCCUGUGGACAGCAGAGCUAUUGAAACGUUUGUAAAAUAGCAGAGGGUUCCAGAUGGGAGGAGCCAUUGUUCAAAGUCCAGACCACCCAGCGGGCAUGUCAGCCCACAACAUGACCUAUUCAUGUGUUUGCUUUUCAUGGACUCCUAAGAUUAUUCACAAUGGAAGAAACAAUGGCAGAGAAAGAUAACCAAGGACAGAAAUUACAUUCCUCCGUAGAAUCUUGUAAUGGUUUCCUGUUACUAAA